GAGGUACUCCCUCCGUUCCAAAUUACUCGUCGCAGAAAUGGAUGUAUUUAGAACUAAAAUACAUCUAGAUACAUCCAUACUUGCGACAAGUAAUUCAGAACGGAGGGAGUAAAUG
rnacentral:pre_miRNA from 1 species